GCAGAGGGAGAGGCAGGGAACCUGAUGUGGGACUCAAUCCCAGGACCCCGGGAUCAUGACCUGAGGCAAAGGCAGAUGCUCAACCACUGAGUCACCCAAAGGUCCCAAAGCACAGAUCUUUAAUCUUACUGCUUUGCUCUGGGAAUCUACUGCCAGAAUCUGCGAGAAUAAGCUUCCUGACCUCAGCCUAUAAGUUCACUUGGCGCUGAUAUUCUUAAAUGGGACUCAAACACACAAGGAAGAGGAGAAUGGGAAAGGAGAGACAGCAACAAAUUUGGAAGCUGGAAAUCGGAAGGAUGCAUAGCAAUUCAUCUGGCCACCCAGGAGAAGCUGAACGUGGAGAGCUAUUGGUGAGGCAGCAGGAAAAGCAAUCUGAGAAAUCUCAGGUGUUCACGGGAAAAUAGGGCCGAAGAACACUCUUCUCUUUUCCUUCUACCGCACUGACAGCUCAUUGUUUUCAGUUUCCUUUAAUGGAUCCCUAUCGCCCUGACAACAUCCUAAUACCUGUGUUCUAAAUCUCAGUCACCAAACAUCUCUCUACAUACUCAUUCCCUGAUUGUAUCCAGCUGCAUGGAAUUAAACAUCAUCCAUAAACCAACAACUCCAAAAUGUAGAUCCCUCAAUCCUGACAUUUUCCCAGACUCUACAGUUGAAUCUAACUGCCCUUUUAACAUCCCCAUUCGUGUAUCUGAUGGACAUCUUGGACCUAACAGGACUAAAACAGAAUUCCUGAUUUGCACCCCCGACCCCCGCCCUCCACCCCCUGCUAAAACCUGCUCUGCUUUUGCUCUAACCUUCCUCACAUGGAGGUGUCAGGUUUAAUCUGAUCGGUAGUGAAAUGGAAUAGAGAGGCCAGGCAAAAGUUGGUGGAAACAGGCUUUUAAUGGGACGCGCUCUGGGCGGGUGAGG